rnacentral:rRNA from 1 species
GACGAACGCUGGCGGUGUGCUUAACACAUGCAAGUGGUGCGACGAACCAGAGCUUGCUCUGGGGCAAAGCCGCGAACGGGUGAGUAACACGUGGGUAAUCUACCCCGAUGACCGGGACAACCCGAGGAAACUCGGGCUAAUACCGGAUGUGGUACGGAGACAUAAGUCUCUUUACUAAAGGUAGCUUCGGCUUCCGCAUUGGGAGGGGCCCGCGGCCCAUUAGCUAGUUGGUGGGGUCAAGGCCUACCAAGGCAACGAUGGGUAGCUGGUCUGAGAGGACGAUCAGCCACACUGGGACUGAGACACGGCCCAGACUCCUACGGGAGGCAGCAGUGGGGAAUCUUGCGCAAUGCGCGAAAGCGUGACGCAGCAACACCGCGUGAGGGAAGACGGCCUUAGGGUUGUAAACCUCUUUCAGAUGGGACGAAGGUGAUGCGGUGAAUAGCCGAUGUCAUUGACGGUACCGUCAGAAGAAGCUCCGGCU